GAUGAACGCUGGCUACAUGCUUAACACAUGCAAGUCGAGGGGUAACGACGGGGAAGCUUGCUUCCCCGGGCGUCGACCGGCGCACGGGUGAGUAACGCGUAUCAAACAUGCCUCUUACUGUGGUAUAACCCGUCGAAAGUCGACCUAAUACAUCUUGUCAUCGUCUGCCUUCUUCCAAUUACAAUUAAAGAUUUCUGCUGUCUGAGAUGGGGAUGCGUCUGAUUAGCUUGUUGGCGGGGUAACGGCCCACCAAGGCGACGAUCAGUAGGGGUUCUGAGAGGAAGGUCGCCCACAUUGGAACUGAGACACGGUCCAAACUCCUACGGGAGGCAGCAGUGAGGAAUAUUGGUCAAUGGGCGAGAGCCUGAACCAGCCAAGUAGCGUGCAGGAUGACGGCCCUAUGGGUUGUAAACUGCUUUUAUGCGGGGAAAAAGUGAGGGACGUGUCCUUCAUUGCAGGUACCGCAUGAAUAAGGACCGGCUAAUUCCGUG
rnacentral:rRNA from 1 species